rnacentral:rRNA from 1 species
AGGGAGCUUGCUCCCUUGAAGUUAGUGGCGAACGGGUGAGUAACGCGUAAUCAACCUGCCCUUCAGAGGGGGAUAACAACGGGAAACUGUUGCUAAUACCGCGUACGAUUCAUGAACGGCAUCGUUUAUGAAUGAAAGAUGGCCUCUAUGUAUAAGCUAUCGCUGAAGGAGGGGAUUGCGUCUGAUUAGCUAGUUGGAGGGGUAACGGCCCACCAAGGCAAUGAUCAGUAGCCGGUCUGAGAGGAUGAACGGCCACAUUGGGACUGAGACACGGCCCAAACUCCUACGGGAGGCAGCAGUGGGGAAUCUUCCGCAAUGGACGAAAGUCUGACGGAGCAACGCCGCGUGAGUGAUGAAGGUCUUCGGAUUGUAAAGCUCUGUUAAUCGGGACGAAAGAGUUCUGUGUAAAUAAUGCAGAAAAGUGACGGUACCGGAAUAGAAAGCCACGGCUAACUACGUGCCAGCAGCCGCGGUAAUACGUAGGUGGCAAGCGUUGUCCGGAAUUAUUGGGCGUAAAGCGCGCGCAGGCGGCCUAUCCAGUCUGUCUUAAAAGUUCGGGGCUUAACCCCGUGAUGGGAUGGAAACUAGUAGGCUAGAGUAUCGGAGAGGAAAGCGGAAUUCCUAGUGUAGCGGUGAAAUGCGUAGAUAUUAGGAAGAACACCAGUGGCGAAGGCGGCUUUCUGGACGAAAACUGACGCUGAGGCGCGAAAGCCAGGGGAGCGAACGGGAUUAGAUACCCCGGUAGUCCUGGCCGUAAACGAUGGGUACUAGGUGUAGGAGGUAUCGACCCCUUCUGUGCCGGAG